UCCAGAGGGUGCGAGCGUUAAUCGGAAUUCCUGGGCGUAAAGAGCGCGUAGGCGGCGCUGUACGACCCGUGUGAAAGCCCCCGGCUCAACUGGGGAGGGUCACGGGUAACGGCAGUGCUCUGAGUGCAGGAGAGGGAAGUGGAACUCCGGGAGUAGCGGUGAAAUGCGUAGAGACCCGGAGGAACACCGGUGGCGAAGGCGGCUUCCUGGUCUGCAACUGACGCUGUGGCGCGAAAGCUAGGGGAGCAAACGGG
rnacentral:rRNA from 1 species